AACGCACAUUGCGCCCGCCAGUAUUCUGGCGGGCAUGCCUGUCCGAGCGUCAUUUCAACCCUCGGGAGCCCCUUUAGGGGGGCCUCCGGUGUUGGGGAUCGCCCGCCUCCACGGUGGACGUCCCCUAAAACGAUUGGCGGUCUCGCUGUAGCCUCCUCUGCGCAGUAGCACUUGUUCUCGCAGGCGGAGCGCGGCGCGGCCCAGCCGUAAAACCCCCAACUUUUACCAGGUUGACCUCGGAUCAGGUAGGAAUACCCGCUGAACUUAA
rnacentral:misc_RNA from 1 species